rnacentral:rRNA from 1 species
GACGAACGCUGGCGGCGUGCUUAACACAUGCGAGUCGAACGGAAAGGCCCUGCUUUUGUGGGGUGCUCGAGUGGCGAACGGGUGAGUAACACGUGAGUAACCUGCCCUUGACUUUGGGAUAACUCCAGGAAACUGGGGCUAAUACCGGAUAGGAGCUCCUGCUGCAUGGUGGGGGUUGGAAAGUUUCGGCGGUUGGGGAUGGACUCGCGGCUUAUCAGCUUGUUGGUGGGGUAGUGGCUUACCAAGGCUUUGACGGGUAGCCGGCCUGAGAGGGUGACCGGCCACAUUGGGACUGAGAUACGGCCCAGACUCCUACGGGAGGCAGCAGUGGGGAAUAUUGCACAAUGGGCGGAAGCCUGAUGCAGCAACGCCGCGUGCGGGAUGACGGCCUUCGGGUUGUAAACCGCUUUCGCCUAUGACGAAGCGUGAGUGACGGUAAUGGGUAAAGAAGCACCGGCUAACUACGUG